rnacentral:lncRNA from 1 species
GGGGCCGUUUGUUGUAGGAACUUGGGCGAGGACCAGUCGUUGUGGAAAAUCGGAGUAUGUCCCAUUGUAGAAGUUCGUCUGGAAUCCCCUCACCAUGGAGUAGCUCGACUGAGGUCUACCUGUAACAGAAGUUCAGAAAAAUUUUGUUCAUAGUAGAGGCUCGAAUGGAAUUUGCUUACAGUAGACGUUUGGGGUAGACAGUUCGCUGUAGGAGUUCGGAGUAGACCGUUCGUAGUAGAA